rnacentral:RNase_P_RNA from 1 species
GGAGCCGGCCGGGCAAUCGCGUCAUCCUUUCGGGGGUGCCGAGGAAAGUCCGGGCUCCACAGGGCACGGUGCCAGGUAACGCCUGGGCGGCGCGAGCCGACGGAAAGUGCAACAGAAAGAUACCGCCGAACGGUCCCCCGGGAUGCGUGGCAAGGGUGAAAUGGUGCGGUAAGAGCGCACCGCGAGCCUGGUAACAGGCCGGCACGGCAAACCCCACCGGGAGCAAGACCGAAUAGGGACCCCAUGACGUUGCCCGCGUCAGGUCCGGGUAGGUUGCUUGAGCGUAUCGGUGACGAUGCGCCUAGAGGAAUGGUUGCCCACGACAGAACCCGGCUUACAGGCCGGCUCCGCCA